GUUCUUAUUAUUUACAUUCCUAUUCUUGGUCCCAUCGAUUCUUAAGCAGAUGCUAGGUCAGCUCGAAAUUUCCCCAUCUAAACUGCAAAGACGAGCGAUAUUCAUGAGGGGCCAUGGGGAAUAGAUGGGCCAGCUUGCCACCGCUGCUAAUUUUUAUUUGCAUCUCAAGUGGGCCUUGUCGCCUUCCUGAUGUGGGGAAGCACCACGAGGAUUCAGUGGGGGCAGGGAACACGUGCCCCCUGGUCGGAGGGAAUCCAGGGGCUCUCUGCAUCCAUGGCUGGCGGCUGGAGAGGGUUUGCCAUCAGAGCUCGGAAGGCCCAGCCCGUUGCCUCCCGUGAAACACUGGGUAGUUUCUCAUUUUCCCCUUGAGUAGUUUCACAGCCCAGUUAAACCUGCAGCAAAGGCUGGCUGGGAUGGAGACCCCGGCCCAGGAAGGAGGCGGGUGAGGGGAAGCAAAUAUACCCCACACUGUGCCCUGCCCCCACCACACACACAAAAAUAUGAAAUGGCCAGGAAGAACUCAAAGGAGAAAGUGAUUUACAAACACUGGCCCUGGCUCCAAGACAAGCAUUCCCCAAAUACGAAAAAAGACACCGCACAGAGAUCCCACUUUGGGACAUUUAUUUUGCAAACUGAACAGCAAACCGCACAAAGACAUCCUAUUGCAGCUCCUUAUCUUUUAGAGCAGCAAUUUGCCCCCUGGUCCAUUUCCCUAAUGUGUGGUUCAGCUGCAGAAUUCUUGCUUUGAUUGUGAUAGCCAGGGGUGUGAUCAUCUUUAGUUAUAGGGGGGUUGGAAGUGCUACUUUUGAGAAUCUGCCCUCCCCCAGAUGCUCAUUAACAAUACUGGCCCAUAACCAUGUGAGGGAGGCUCUUAUGCCCAUUUUUCAGGUGCAGCAAUUGAGGCUCAGAGAGGUGUGGUGACUUGCCCAGGGUCAUACAGCUCAGAAACCACAGACUCAGGCCUCAGGCUUCAGGCCCAUCCACCCCCACUCCCCACCCCUGUCCAUCUGACUCUGAAGUCAGUGUUAGUUCCAAAAGAUACCCGGAUGGGCCGGAGCAGGGAGGGAGAAAACGGGGCCAUCAUCUUACAAACAGCUUCCGGUCUGGGGUCCAGGAAGUCCCAGCCGGCUGCAGCUGUGACAGCAUCAAUUUCCCCUCAGGCUCACUGGUCCCUUUUGCAGCUCGCUUUCAAUCAGUGCCAGCAACUGGAAUGAGACCCUCCCGCCAGUGUCAGCCCUGGCCCAUAGACAGGGUCAGGCACCACACGUGGGCAUCUCGGGGUGCUUUCUCUGCCCUCAUAGGGCUCUGGAAUCGGGGUUAUCAGGGUCAUCAGGCUGGGCAACACGAGUCCAGCUUCUUGAAGCUUCAAAGUGUCAAAGGCUUCUGGAGCCGAGCCCCCACCGUAUCCCUGCUGCCUUUGCCCAGUGGUCUCCAGCCUCAUGGUAACAAUUCUCAUUGUGAUUAGAAUUGUCUGCUCCACUUCAGCCACUAGGGCCACCUUGCAGUCCCUUAUGCUCUCUGUCCCCUUCUUUUCUCCAGGUCUCUGCUCAGAUGUGGCCUCAUCAGAGAGGCCUUCCCUUCCAUCCUGUGUAAAAUACCACCCCCAACACGCUCUGUCCCCAGCUCCUUUGAUUUUCUUCCUAGCACUUAACAUCCUCUGACAUACUUUAUAUUUAUUUGUUUAUUGCUUCUCCUCCCUCCCCAACUAGAAUGUUCCAUGAGGGCGGGGUGUGUUAUCUUGGUCUCUGUUGAGUCCCCAGUGCCCAGAAUGACUCCUGGACAAAGGCACAUGGAUAUGGAGUGAACGAGAGUUUGUAGGCAGAGAGCGCCGCGGGCUCCCUCCUUAGUCAUCACCACCCUUCAAGUGUUCUUUGGAAAUGGGCUUACAGACCAGUCACCAGAAAAAUGCCUCCCAGAGAAUGCACGGGUUCACCUUCUCCCGCUAGACUUCCCCAACCAGCACAAUAAACAAAGCGGCAUAAAUAAACCAGCCUCCUUCGCGAAGUACCUUGUGAGUGGUCACUUCCCCCAGGCAAGCGGGCUGGUGACUGUCUGCAAGGUUAGUUGCAUUCGCACUAAACUCUUGGGCAAAGCUAGCGUGUCAUCACAAUUGUUUUCUUUUAACUCAUUGCUAAGGUCCUCUGAGAAUGGUGCUCAGUGGGGAAGGGGCGAGAUGGCUGCCUUUUCUGGAGCAGAGAUGAAAUCAUCUCUUCUGCCCUGCAUGCUUGGACAUUUAAUGCUGACCAGGCCUCCAGGCUUCUCAGACCUGGACGGGGAAGCUGGACUUUCUCCAGCCCAGUGCCGCACUGCCCCGUGUUGUAGAAUGAACAUGAGACUUCAAUACAGAGGAAGGCAGGCUUCCCAGUGCUUAGGGUUUCUUCCCCAAAGGAGCAAAGUAAUCUUCAAACCAUGAGUGAGAAGUAGCCCAUGAAUGAGAAAUUCGCGUCCCAUUCUCUAAAGACUCAACCACCCCAUUCUGGCAUGGUUUUAGAAUAUUUAUUAUUCUUUUUUCUUUCACCUAUGAUAUGUAUAUUGGGUUCUUAUAUCUAAAUACAAAAACAAGAUGCCUUUUAAACUUUGUGCCCCAAACAGCCGUUUGUGCAGACGCUCCCCGCGUUGACAAGACGGAGGGUGGAAAUCAGUCACCGCAUGUUCCCACUGUUGACCUCCUAGAGAUAAGUCCCUUCUGCCACCUCCACCAGCAUCCCCACCCCCUCCCUCCUUCCCCCUAUUCAGGGAAACGAGGUUUUGCUUUUCAGCCCCGUUUCUGGUUACAUAUGUACACGGCUGAUAAAAUAUUCCUCUUCACCCCUUCUCCCUGUGGGACCCGCCGUCUUACGGGGAAAGGGAUUGUAUGACAGCGACCGCAACAGACGACGUGUCGCCUGGAAACCACAGUGGGGAGGGGGGGGGUGGUGACUCUCCCCUCUCCUUUUUAUUCAAAUUCCCACUCCUGGUUUUGAUAACGGCAUCAUUGCUGGAGAGAAAAGGCUGGGGCUUCCUCCAUGGAACUCUGGCCAAGGCCCAGAUGGUCACCCUCCUGUCCUUGAGAGAGAGGGAGAAUGCCACCGAGGUCCUGACCAUUUGCUCCCUGGCAAUGGGCACCUGAGGCUACCCGGGCCUGCGAGGAGGUUGGUUCUGCCCUCCUGCUAAGUAGGCAAGGUCUGUCUUCUGCACAGCAGGCUCAGUUGGUUCUACACAGAGUUCACUCUCCCUUCGUGGCCAGGAUAGUUGGGGCCAGAGAAGAAUUUGGGUGGGGGAAAUUUCCACAGAAGCAAACAUGGCUAGCUGGAUGGAGUCCAGCAAUGGGAGAAGGAGGGGCUGGGCACUGUGCAUGGAGAGGAGGAGGUCUCGGCUGCUGAGAUUGUCCAGGAAGGAUGAAGAUAAAGGAAGGUCUAUGGGGUUUGCCCCAAGGGUUCGAGGAGACUCUAGACGGUGCCUUUGCAGAGACAGAUUUCUGCUUGUCUCUCCACCCACUUGGUUCCCUCAUGUCUCCCUUCAUGUGUAACUGAUGUUCUCCAAAUCCAGAAUAUUCCAGAAGCAGAAGAUGGGGCAAAGGAAGGUUCAGGGAGGUUAGGGGCCAGAGGGAGGCUUCUUUCCCCAAGCUUCUUGACAACCUCCUUUGCCAAAAAGCA
rnacentral:lncRNA from 1 species